rnacentral:rRNA from 1 species
UACAGAGGGGGCAAGCGUUAUUCGGAAUUAUUGGGCGUAAAGGGCGCGUAGGUGGCGGGACAAGCGUGCGGUGAAAGCCUGGGGCUCAACCCCGGGUCGGCCGUGCGAACUGUUUUGCUUGAACACUGUAGAGGCAGGCGGAAUUCCGGGUGUAGCGGUGGAAUGCGUAGAGAUCCGGAAGAACACCGGUGGCGAAGGCGGCCUGCUGGGCAGUAGCUGACACUGAGCCGCGAAAGCCAGGGGAGCAAACGGG